AUCUGGAGGCAGAAAGUGAGGAUAAACUGAAAGCCAGGGCCAGCCACCAGUGGGAGAUGGGAAGGGGAGGUGUGAGCCGGGAGCAGGAGGGAGGGUGAGCAUGUGCUCUCAGAUACCCAGGGAGGGGUGUGAGCUCAGUCAACACAGAUCAGCUGGGUAGGGUCUUUCAGAGGGAACCGGGCCCUGCCCUGCGGCCCUGGGGAGCCACUUGCACUGUUCAGCCGCCCUUUGUGGGAGAGGAAUCACCCCAUCUGGAAGAUCACGGUGUCAUGAUUUGCUACAUGGAAUAGUGGCUUUAGGGGCCCACCUGAGAGUCAGACCUGACUCUGGGGAUUCAGAGUGGAGAGUGAGAACUGGGUCACACGUGUGUGUGCAUACACAGACACGCGCACGCGCGACUUGGCAAGUUUGGAAACAGUGAGGGGUGGGCAGAGGAGGACACAGCAGCCUCCAGGGAAGGGAGGGCCCUACUGAGUGGUGCCCCCACCAUGGGAGCUCAGGAGAGUUUGGGGAAGGCCAGAGGAGUUUCUGAAGAGAACCCUCAGGCUCUGCAGGUGAGAGGAGGGGAAAGGUGGCCCCGGGACUAGUCAGGGGAGCCAAGUGCACUCGAAAAUCCAGGAGAGACAAGGACACUUCUGGGCAGCCUGACCCCCCUCAGCUGCCAUGAUAGGCCUUGCAGGGCAGAGCAGCUAUAAGGCAAUACCCACCACUCGGCAGCCUGCACACCCAAGGGGAGGGGAGGCAGCUGUCCUCAGAAGCCUCAGUUUCACACAGCCUGGUGUCCCUUCUGAUGCGCCUCAGGCCACGUGAACCCAGGCCCUUGUGGGCCCAGCUCCCACCUGCACUCAGGUGUGGAGGGGGCCUGUGGUCAGAAGAGAGGUGGACAGAGGGGGUGGGCAGAGCCAGGGCAGCAGGCUGGGCGGCGGGGGCAUGCACCAGCGCGGGGGCAUGCAUGCUUCCUUGUGUGAUUUUUAAGGCUGUGGACAGCACCUAGGGCGUCCGCCCACUUCAGGGUAACCACAGCCCUGAGGGCUUAUCAGGUGUGUUCCAUUACAAGAGCCUUGCAGGUCUGGCCUCUGCAUCGGCCCCCCACCCCCACCUCUGGCCCUGUGCGCCCUUGAGGCUGUGCAGUCCUGUUAAGAACACCUGCCCUGGCCUGAAGAGCCACAGUAUUGGAGAAGGAUUACCAGCCUACUGCGCUUCCAGACCCCCUUGCCUACCUUCCCAGGGAGUCCUGCACCCACAGCUGCUGGGCCGGGGUUGGCCUAGGGACCAGCAUCUUCUCCCACGGUGACACACAUAUAAAAGUAGCUCCUUAGGGAGCUUUCUGACAGCCAGGAGAGGGAGGGUGCAGAAAGGCUGGAGCAGGGCCAACCUUGUGAGCAUCUGCUCACACCACAUGCUGGCCCCCGCUCUGAGCAGGGCCAACCUGGCCCUAUAAACCCUUGCUGGUUGCAGGAGGGUGGGGAGCAGUAGAAAACAUGUUGGUGUUCAAAGGCAACUCACCACUGCUCCCUGCCUUUCUGCAUUCAGGGAGCAAUCGCACAAACAUGCAUACGCACACAUACACAUACACACAGGCCUGGCCAGGGUCACACCUGGGCCCUGGACCCCCUAUGAGCCACCCUCCCUUAGGAGCAGACCCUCACUCACUUGUGAUGUCGUACACCACCACAGCCACUGUGGAGUCCCGGAUGUAGCUGGGGAUCAGGCUGCGGAACCUCUCCUGACCAGCUGUGUCCCAGAGCUGCAGUCGCACCUGUCUCAGGGAGGGCAGGACCACGGGCAGAGGGGUCAGUGGGGCAGUGAGGUCCUCCUAGUCCGGGGGACUGGGAGAGCCGGGCUCUGCAAUGCUGGCAUCACCAGCUCCAGCCCCCAGUGUCGGCAGGUGCUCUCAGUGGUGCCCAGUUAAGGGUCCUAGGGGAUAAGCCCAAAGGAACCCCCCGGUCCCUCCCAGUCCUAAUAUUAGAUGCUCACCGUGCGGUCCUCUAAGUACAUGGUUUUUGACAAGAAGUCAAUCCCAAUGGUUGCCUGUUAGAGAAAAGCACAGAAUGGUCAAAACCAAAAGGUCUCAUGCAAAGGCGCAAAAGCCUGGUGACCACAGGUGGUGGCAUAACCAGCAAGAGGGGACACUCAUGUCAAGUCUAACGUGGCCAUGCUCUGUCCCCCCUGCCCCUCCACCCACCACUCAGUGGCUCUCUCACUGAGGGAUCAAGCUGAGGAAAGAUGAGGGUUGCCUUUAUAGGGUGAGAUCCUCUCUGGAGAGGGAAAGUGCUUCGGGAACGGUGAGAGCGCAGUGGUGAGGAGGCCUCCCCAGGAGCAGGGCCACUCAGGCCACUCAACGCACAUAUCCUGCCCUCCCCACCUGGGCUUCCUGCCUCAUUCCCCUCACGGCCUAACCUGCAGCUUCCAAAGCCUCUUCCCUCUGCCCUAAAGCAUGGGCCUGGGCUCAACACUGACCUCGGGAGGGUGGGAGGCAGGGGGCAGGAGCAGGCAGCCUGCUGCUGUGUGGGGGCAAACAGCAGCAUGGCUUUUCUCAGGUGCGGGUGCUGCAGACCACCCAGAGUGGCCUCUCGCUGGGAGGCCCCACUGGCUCUGUUCUCCCCAAGCCAAAACGUUGGAAGCUGUCACUACCUCCCCUGUGCCACACCUAUGCCUUUCUGCCUGGCACCUGCGAGAGGCAGCCAGCCUUGUGGCCAGAUGGCCAGGACCCACCACUCACUUGCUGUGUGGCCUUGGGCAGGCCACCAACCUCUCUGGGCCUCACAUGCACCCGGUACCUGUCAGUAGGACUGAGAUGCUGUCGAUGUACAAUGGAGAUCUCACUGCUAUGUAAUCAAUAAUAACAAAGACUUGGACACAGCCCGAAUGUCCAGGGCACUGAACAAGCAUAGUGUGGUAUAUCCAUGUGAUUACAACCCUUGGCAGCUAUUAACGAUCACAUUCUUGAAAAAUUAUUUAAGGAUUUGGGGAAAUGGUCAUCCAGUUAAAAAAACAAACAAACAAAAAACAGGUUAUAAAACAUCAUGUGGCGAGUGAUCCCAAUUAGAUUAACUCAAGUAGAUCUAUGAGUAUUUUUCAUGUUUUCUUAGACACUGAAGUAAAGGGAAUCUGCUAACAUGUUAAUAGCAUCAUGGUCUGAAUAGUGACAGAGCAUUUUGUUUCCUUCAUUACACUCCUUCAUUACACUUUUCUCUACUUUCCACAAUGAACAUAUAACAGUUCUAAAAUAAGAAAAAGUCCUUUGAAAUAAAGUUUGAUAAAUAAGUUUAUGUGGAAUGCCAUGAUUUUUGACUGCAAAAAAAACACAACCAAAAGAAGCCCAAGAAAAUAGAAAAGGUCAUGUCUCCAGGCCCCCCAGGCUGAAUGCAAAGGUAUGCACCAAUGUGUGUGCACAAGUGUGCAUGUUUACAUAGUCACACUCCCAACUCAUUCCACAAAGGACUGAGGGUGGCUGUACCCUCCUGGAAGCUUGCCUUAUAACACAAAGAAAUGGAGGAUCAUUCUAUGCUCUGGAUGCUAGAAUGUGGGUACUAGACAAACACCUUAGAUACAACCCAAUCAAUCCCUUACUUUGGAGAUGAAAGAAUAGACCAAGAGGGCUAAAGGACAUGCGUAGUGUGACUUCACUCAUCAGUAGCAGGGCUGGGAAGAUCAGAGCUCCAAACUUGGCAGCACCUGGGCUCUUUCCAGCCCAGCUUCGCAUAGUGUAGCCACCGAGGGACAAAUCUGCAAUGACCAGUGCUUGUGGAUGCAGACUUUUUCCUUCACAGGUAUAUGUUAGAUUGACAGUCCUUGUCUUCCGAUUCCCUUAUGGAGAAAUGUGCCUAGCAGGUAGAAGUCUCUCAACUCCUCAAUGCUCAACAGGCUCCCCAGGAGUGACAUGCUCCUUUUGUAGGGUCACCUUUGAACUAAAACCAGGUGCACGAGCUUAGGACUGGUGGCAGGGACUGCUGGUUGUCCCCAGUAUGUAGUUUCCCUUUCUAUAGUAACAGAAUUCUGGGUGUGCAGAUGGACUCAGGGCUGCCCCAAAUAAAGACCAUAUUUCCCAGCCUUCUUUGCAGCUGGGUGGCUACGUUCUGGUUAAUGGGAUGUGAAGGUGAUGUAGGUAUCUUUGGGGACAGGUCCUCUGUGGGUAGGGAGGACCCACAGCUGCUCCCUUUCCCACUGUCCGGUGGGGAUGAGUCAUAGUGGCCCAUCCAGAUGAGGAUGACAGAGGAGUGAUGACAUCAACGAAGCCUGACUCCCUGACCCUGAGGAGCUACUUCAGCAGCGCUGGACUGCUCAGAUUGUUCUAUUUUGUUUAAGCCACUGUUAUUUUGGGUUUCUGUUAACAUAGCCUAAUUAACAAGCAAAGAACCAUGGAGAAACAUAUCUCUCAAAGGUAGGUACCCAAUGGUAAUGCUACUGAUAACUGUAAUGAUGACCACCCCAUCACAGCUCACAUGUCACGAGGCACUUCUGCUUCCACAAAGGGCAGAGAAGUCACCAAAUGAAACAAGGAAUUGUGCCACUUGGAUGAAGUCCCAGCAAAGCUCAACCCAGUGGCCUCCAUAAUCAUAAACACCAUUACCGAACAUCCACAUACUUUCUCUCACAUCCCAUAACACACUGACCAGAGGCAGCAACGAGGAACCUGAACGAGGCCAACAUCCCAUCUUCUCCAGCUCUCUCUUAAUUCCCACUUCCAGCUUCCCCAUCAGAGAAACCUCUGGUCCCUUAACUGUCCACUCUCCCAGACCUGUUCUAGCCACACUCUCCAUCUGACCAGGCCACUGAGCCACUGAAGAACUUCCGUAGCUGUGGAGAUGGCGCCAAAGCAUAGGCAUUGUCUCUGGGUGUAACUGAGCCCUCAGCUCUGCUCAAAAACAUAUUCCUAAGUUUUGCUUUCAAUAAUGGCUGAGUGGCUUGUAUCAAACAAACCCUCCAACAGAAAACUAUUUUAAUAUCUGGAAAAAUACAAGAAAUAACAAUUUGCAAGCACUGAAGAAUGAUCAAAAGCAGGACGAGACAGGGCGCAGUGGCUCAUGUCUGUAAUCCCAGCACUUUGAAAGACCAAGGCAGGAGGAUCACUUGAGCCCAGGAGUUUGAAAGCAGCCUAGGUAACAUAGUGAGACUUUGCCUCUACAAAAGAUAAAAAAUAAAAAUUAAUCAGGUGUGGUGGUGCCCGCCUGUAGUCCCAGCUACUUGUGAGGCUGAGGGGAAGAAUCGCUUGAGGCUGGUGGGGCUGAGGAUGCAGUGAGCCAUGAUGACACUACUGUACUCCAGGCUGGUCAACAGAGCAAGAUCCUGGCUCAAAAGAAAAAAAAAAGUAGGUAGGGGUUACAACCACUCAAGGAAUGGAAGAGAAUUAGGUAGAUUCUACAUUAAAUCAAUUUGCCUCCUGAUGAAACUCCCCAGUCCCACCAAAUUAAAAGAACUUCAAAAACACCUCAGACUCCACUGAAACACCAGAAAGGCUGGCUUUGGGAGGAACAAGAUCAUCUCAGGACUGAGGGUUACACCAGAGGACUAAGAGAAAACCAAAAUUAAUCUAUCGCUAUGGUCUGAAUGUGUCCUCUGUAACCUCAAAUUCAAAUGCUGAAACUUAAUCCUCAAUGUGAUCAUAUUAAAAGGCACAUCCUUUGGGGAAAGGAUUAAGUCAUGAGGAUUCUGACCUCUUGAAUGGGAUUAGUACCCUUAUAAAAGAGGCUUAAGGGAGCACCCUGGCUCCCCUCUGCCAUGUGAGGACACAGUGUUCGUCCCUUCCACCGAGGACACAGCAUAAAGGUGAUUUUUUGAAGCAGAGAGCAAGUCCUCACCAGAUGCAGAAUCUGCUGGAGCCUUGAUCUUGGAAGGCAAUCCCAGACUCCUGAACUGUGAGCAAUAAAUGCCAAUUGCUUAUACGUUACCCAGUCUAUUUUGUUAUAGCAGCCUGAAUGGAUGAAGACAUCUGUCUUAACAAGGUCCAUGCAUGAUAACUAACCAUUCCCUAAAUAAUUGUCUAUUAAGAUAGGCAUUUAUCUUAAUCAUUUAAUUGCCUAUUAAGAUAAAACAACACUCUUCAGAGGAAGGUAACAAAAUCCAAGACUAUAACUUAUUAUUCAUGAGGUCCACUGUACAAUAAAAAAGGACUAGAAAUGCGAAGAAACAGAAAAUUCAAGCCAUAAUCAAGGGAAAAAACUCAACAGACCCCUACAUGACCCAAAUGUUGAAUUAGUAGACAAAGACUUUAAAACUCUUAUAAAUAGGUAAAAAAAAACUAAAAAAUAAAUACAAUGAGUGACUGUCAAGAGAUUUAUGAAAAUUCUAAAACAAAACAAAAUGGAACUUUUAACACUAAAAACUAUAAUAUCUGAAAUAUCAAGUGAUCUGACAUAUAUGCAAUAAGAGGCCGGGCGUGGUGGCUCAUGCCUGUAAUCCUAGCACUCUGGGAGGCCUAGGCAAGCAGAUCACCUGAGGUCAGGUGUUUGAGACCAGCCUGGCCAACACAGUGAAAUCCCAUCUCUACCAAAAAUACAAAAAUUAGCCAGGUAUCUUGGCGGACGCCUGUAAUCCCAGCUACUUAGGAGGCUGAGGCAGGAGACUCGCUUGAAUCUGGGAGGCAGAGGGUGCAGUGAGCUGAGAUCGCACCACUGCACUCCAGCCUGGGCAACAGAGCGAGACUCUGUCCCCCAAAAAAUAAUGAAACAAAAAAUGCAAUUAGAGUCUCAGAAGGACAGCAGAAACAGAUGCAGGCAAAAAACAUCUUGAGAAUAGCCCCCAACUUCCCCCAAUUUAAUUAGAAACAUCAACCCACGGUUCCAAGAAGUUCAGUGAACCUAAAACAGGAUAAACCUGUAAAAAACCAAACCAAGGUAUGUCAUAGUCAAAUUGCUAAAAAUAAAAAAUAGAGAGAAAACCAGAAUAGCAGCCAGAAAACAGAACACAUUACAUACAAGGAAACAAUGGUAAGAAUUAUAGUUGAUUUACCAUCAGAAACAACGGAAGACAGAAGACAAGGGAACAACAUCUCGAAACUGCUUAAAAAAUAAAACAAGUCACACACAAAAAACCCUGUCAGCCUAGAAUUCUAUAGCUGGUGAAAAUUUUCUUCAAAAAUGAAGACAAAACAUAAACAUUUUCACAUAAGGGAAAGUCACAUAAUUUGUCACUAGCAUGCACUCAUUAUAAGAGAUGCUUUAGGCUAAAGAGAAAUUUUGUAGAUGGAAAUUAGAAUCUUUAAGGCUGGAAUACAAGUGCACCAGAAAUGGCAAAUCUAUGGGCAAAUAUAAAAAACACGCUACUUGUCCUUGAUUGCUUCCUAUCACAGUAACAAUGACAUCCACAGUAACAACAACUAAACAUCUCAGCACUUAGCCAUUUCCCAGCUCUUGUACUAACUGCUUUAAAUACAUUACUUAAUUUAAUCUGGACAAUAAAUCUGUGCGAUGAGUUAGGCUCUUCUGUAUUCUGUGUCACUGCUAAGAAAAUGGAAUACAAGAGAUGCUAAGUGACUUGUCAAAUGUCCACAGCUGAGACUGCAGUCAAGAUUCAAAAGGUAUUUGCAAAGUUGUCUACAUAUGUCCAGCCUUAUCCCCACAUGCCUCCAGGCUCUGAGUAUUUGUUAUUUCUCCCGUUUAAAGAAAGCCUCUUCCUAGGCCCUCUUGGCCCUGGCCUUCUCUGGAUGAUGCUUUCUCAGCCAUCUCCUUUCUCUUCUGUAUCUCAGUCUCUCAUUCUCUACUCACUCGUUCCUUUCAUCCAAGAAACAUUCUCAAGAUUCUCACAUCUUUGAGUGGAAAAAUCCCUCAUUUUCACUAAGUUGCUCUCUAGCCAUCUGCCAAUCUCUCACCUCUUCUGAAUGGGCUUGCUUCUUGGAAAAGGACUUCAAACCUACUGUACCCAUUUCCUCUAUGCCCACCCAUUUCUCAACUAGGUCAGUCUGGUUUCUGUCCCUCUGCCCAUAGCUCUUGCUAUGGUCACCAGUAGCCAUUUGAUUAUCAGAUCAUGAGGACUCUAUAUAGGCCAGACUCAACACACUUGACCCUGCCUCUUCUACGGCAUUUGUUUCUUCUUUGCUUUCCAUGACUUUACUUGUUUCUGGCUUUCCCUGCCUCUCUAAUUGCUGUUCCUUACUGUUCUCUUGUAGGAUCUUCUUCCUUUCUUUCCCUAAAAUGUUGGCAUUUCCACUGUUUUGUUUCAGGGGGGAUCUCAUUUACUUUCGAUGCUUCAAAUACGAUAUAUUGAUCAGUUCCCAAUCUAUAACCCAGGCCUUACCCCUGUUCUGAGCCCCAAAUCUAUGCAUCCAGCUACUUACUACAAAUCCCACUUAAUUAUCCACUAGACAGCUGACUAAAUAUAUAGUAUGUUCUAAAAAGAGCCUAUCAUCUUCCUCCAAACCUGCUUCUGCUAUUUUUCCUAUUUCAAUAAAUGGCACCUUGAUCAUCCAGGGCACACAAGCCUCUGGAAGCCUGAAAGCCCUCCUGAGUUGCUCCUCUUCACUUGCUGUCUGUUCCCUCACAUCAAAUGAAUACUGAACUGGUUACUUGGCCUCCUAAGGGCUCUCAACCAGCCCCCUUUUUCUCCAUCCCCAACACCACUGCCCUAGUUUAGACACUGAACUUCUUUUACCUAAAUAACACCAACAGCUUCCUGACUAUCCCUCAUGCUUUCCACUGUAAUUAAUCUUUCAUGUAGCAGGCAGGAUGUCUUAGUCCAUUUUCUGCUGCUGUAACAGAAUACCACAGACUGGAUAAUUUAUUUUAAAAAGAAAUUUACUUAUCACAAUUCUGGAAGCUGAGAAGUCCAAGAACAUGGCACCGGUGUCUGGGGAGGGCCUUUGUGCUGUAUCAUCCAUGUCAGAAGGUGGAAGGGAAAGGGAACACACACAACAGAGAGAAAAAGGGGCCCAAACUCCCAUGGUACCACCCACUCCUGCAAUAACUGCAUUAAUCCAUACCUAAUCACCUCUUAAAGGCUCCACUUUUUUUUUUUUUUUAAAGCAGCUGCACCUUCUAGGAUCACCUCUUAAUACCGUCACAAUGGCAAUUAAAUUUCAAUGUGAGUUUUGGUGGUGACAUUGAAACCAUUGCACAGGGUUAUUUUUCUGAAAUAUUAAUAUGAUCAUAUUAAUAUGAUCUACUGCCUCUAAGAAAUAGCUCAAACACUUCAAGCUGGCCUAUAAUGCUGUUCAGGGCCUGCCCCUGGCAUUCUAUGGACUCAUUCCCUCCUUGCCCAGCCUGCACUUUAUACUUUAGAAAUAAUAUUCUGUACAGUACUCCUCAUAAACAAGUUCCUUUGUGUGUCUGGGCCUUUUCUAAUACUGUUCCCUUCUCUGGAAUGCUCUUCUACAUGGUUUAUACUUAUUCAGAAUUCAAGAUUCAGCUCCUCUACAAAUCAUUUUCUGGGCCCUCAGGUUGGUCCAGGGCCCCUCAUUUAACACGUUCUCUGUUAAACUGUAAAGAUCUCAUACUGAUCAAUCUCUCCCACUGGCCAGUGAUUCAAUGAUUCUCAAUAUGUAGCCCACGAGUCACGUGCAUCAGAAUCACAUCAGGAGCUUGUUAAACAUGUUGAUUCCUGAGCUCCACUCAGACAGACAGAAUCACAAUCUCUGGGAAUCAGAAUUCCAGACAAGCCCUCAGAUAACUCAUUUGUGCAGUAAAGUCUGCAAACUGCCUUCUAUUGUAAUCAGAGUCUGGGGAGGUUGUGAUGUCCAGGAGUGGCAGAUGCCCUGUACAGGGUGAGAGACAAGAGGGAGAUGCUUAUGCAUGAGAAGGUGCUAUUCACAGAAAGCAAGGCUUACUCGGAACCAAGGUCACACAGUCAGUAGUGUCAGAAUCAGUUUCCCUGAGUGCAAAGUCCCUACUCUUGACUAUUCAGUUGUACUCCCUCUCCUUCCUGAAAUCCCUUCAUUUUUGAACCUGUCAUGCACCCUGAAGCUGUCACUGAAUAUUCCUGGGGUCACAUACUAUCUGGCUACCUAUUGUCAUAAUCUUAUGGUCAUCAGCCAUAAUAGUUCAGCAGAGCCCACUUAAGGUGAAGUUCGUUUGCCAGAAGAGAAAAGUCAGCUCUCUAAGGACAGAAUAGAAACAAGAACUUUUAAAAGGGCCUUGGCUUGGCCUCAGUUACCAGAAAAUUUCUAGCUCUUUGACAUCAUCUAUUUGCCUCAAAUAAGGCACAAACAGUCUUACUGGUUGAGAAAUUAGAGAACAAUCUGCAAAGUUACUACAGCAGCCAGAAAGUGUAGAAAAUCCUAGAAGUGACAAAGAUACAGAGAGGUGACCCCAAAUUCUCCAUAUAAAUGCUACCCAAAUCUCUGACUGACCCAAGCAGACCCUAAGCAGCCUACCUAAGACUGAAAACAAAAUAAAACAGACAAACAAAAAAAUCUGAACAUAACUUUCAGUUGCUGCCUACCACGGUGGGGAGAAUUGAGAAUUUGGGUCCAGACAAUUUAGCUGCCCACUAAAGCCAAGAGUACUCUUCACAGGAACAAACAGAAUCCACAGUUUUAACAUAAUGUAUAACCCAAAAUUACUAGUCAUAUGAAUAAGAAAAUGUGAGCCAUAUUCAAGAAAAAAGAGAUUAAAUGGAGACUAACUCUGAGGUACCCAGAUGUUGAAAAUAGCAGGCAAGUAUUUAAAAAUAGUUCAUAUAACUAUGCUCAAAUAUAAAAAUAAGCUCAUAAUAAAGGCACAGAUUUAAAAAUCUCAACAGAGAAACUAAAACUCUAAGUAAAGAACCAAAUACAAACUUAGAACUGAAAAAUACAUCUGAAACAACAGAUUCAAAAAGAGAAAUGAAAUAGUCAGUGAACUUGAAAAUAGAUCAUAUAAAUUAUCCAAAAGGAAGCAUAAAGAGGAAAAAAGUUGAGAAAAAUUUCAUAAACAGAGCCUCAAACAGCUUAACAUAUGUUUAAUUGGAGUCCCAGAAGUAGAGGAGAUGGAGAAUUGGACAAAAAAACUAAAGAAAUAAUGGUGAAAAGUUUUCUGAGUGCAAAAUGAGACACAUUUACAGAUUCAAAAACUCAUCCAACUCCAAGCAUUACAUUAAAAAAAUAAAGAAACAAAAUCACAUGUCUAUUCAUAUCAGAGUCUAACUGCUAAAAAUCAAAGAUAAAGAAAAAUCUUGACAGCAGCCAGAGGAAAAUGACACACCCCAUGCAAGGAAGUAACAGGGAUGACGGCUGGCAUAUUGGAAAAAAAUGAAAGCUAGAAAACGGUGGAAUGACACAAAGUGUUCAAGAAAAAAAAAAGUGGCAACAGAAUUCUAAAUCCAGCAAAAAUACUCUUCAAAAGUAUGAAAAAAUAAAAAUAUUUUUCAAGCAGAACUUCACUACAAGAAAUGUUAAAGGCUGACAGGAAAAUAUACUAAUGGAAACUAGACUUCUCUGGAAGAAAUUGAGAGCAUCAGAAAUGGUAAAUACAUGCAUGGGUAAAUGCAGGACAUUGUUUGUUUUAGAUAAAAGUGAUGGCUUCAGUAUACCCUGAGGUGUGAAGCCACACAGUUUCUUCAGAAAAACAAAAAUGAUUCAGGACCAGUGGACUGUGAAUUGCCUGUAGAGAACAGGAUGGAGCCAAAGAACUGAUAAACGACCAAAGAAGAGGCGCUUCCAUGUAGCUGGGACUUUAGAAAGAUAACCCUGGUUGAAGGAUAGUGAAUGGGAUGAAGGCAAGGGAGACAAAACGGAACCUGCUGCAAAGGCCUGGACAGGUGAAGAAGUGUGGACAGAAAAGAGCAGGGUGAGAAGGAAGGAGGACACAUGAAUGAUAUCAAUAAGCAGAAGCAGGACUCCAUGGGUGCGAAAGAUGCAGGGAGGCUGGGUGACUAAGAUAAGGUACUGUUAACAAGAAAAGGGGGGAGUGGCUUGCACGGCUGGGAACACUAACUACACUUUGCAGAUAAGCCAGAGCCACACAGAAGUGAAGUGACUUGCCUGAGGUUCCAUAGCAAGUCAGCGAGGUCACAGGAACUAACUUGCAUCUUCUCUGAUGAUAAAUCAUGGGCUUUGGGUGAUGAAAUAAAAGACGACCUUCAUGGGCUGACUCCUUUGGAGCACAUCCCAGCUAGGGUAGCCACUAAAGGAUGGCCCAAGGUGCUGCUUCUCUGGAAGCAACUGCAACCACACCACUAGAACUAAUGAGAAAUGACCACACUUGGGUGUCAUUCAUGCCACCUCCGUGGAGAGCCACAAAGUUAGAUCUACACUGAUGGGCAUUCUCCUCGUCACAGGGAAUGAGCAUGGUCCAGGCGUGGUCUUGUGAGGCAGCUGGGCUUACCAGCCAAUCCAAGAUUGCCAAGUAUCAAAGCCAAUGGUGCUCCUGGGGUUCCUGGGGCUGCUGUGCUCUGUCUAAGAGCUGUGUCUACCACUGUUCUGCUGGGUACUCUAGUCUCAGACUUGUGCCAAAUCAAAUCCUCAGAGACCACGGGCCUAGGCUGCUUUGUGCACACUCUCCAGAAUGGUUUUAGCAGCAAGUGAGCCAGAUUACGCUGGCAUUGCACUUUGGAGGUCUGUGAGGGUCUUUAUCACAAAUCAUCAUGUGCGGAAAGUCUCUAGCUUGCUGGUAACACUGUCACUAGAUGCCCUACCUGCCAAGCCAUUACAUAUACCUCUUUGUAAGCUGGGGCAGAGAAACCCUUGAUAUUUUUCUUUUUUUUUUUUUUUUGAGACAGGGUCUCACUCUGUUGCCCAGGCUGGAGUGCAGUGGCAUGAACACAGAUCCCUGUAGCCUCGACCUCCUUGGCACAAGCAAUUCUCCUGCCUCAGCCUCCCAAGUAGUUGGAACUACAGGCGUGUGCUACCACGCCCAGCUAGUUAAAAAAAUAGUUUUCUUUUGUAGAGAUGGGGAUCUCACCAUGUUGUCCAGGCUGGUCUCGAACUCCAGGGCACAAGUGAUCCUUCCGCUUCAGCCUCCCAAAGAGCUGGGAUUACAGGCGUGAGUCACCAUGCCUGGCAAACCCUUGAUUCUAAACCUGACCACUCUCCCUGCCUUACUGCGUGACCUUGUUCAAGUGUUAGCAAUAUCUGGCUCAAAAUGCAAGCCUGGGAGCAUUUUGCCAUUAGUAUGUGGGAACCAUGCAUGGUAUUUCCUUUCCCUCCAGCCACCAGGAAACUCGAAGGUAAAUGCUGAGCUCCAUACAGUAUUUCUGCUAUAGCUAUCUCCGCUACCCUCUAUUCCUUUCUGAUGCUAGUUUUUCCUCCUCUGCAUCUGUAGUACAGUCAUCGUAUCUGUGGCUCCUACUUUGGAGGGAUAUGGGGACAUCAGACAAAAAGAACAACUAGCCACCCAGGUAGGCCAUAUCCUCCUGAAAAAGGCCCCAGCAACCUUGGUGAUUUCCUGUGACCUGCCACAGGGUACACUUCAUCUCAAAGGUCACCACAGGCCACAGUGUGUACUGAUGGGAAGGGAUGUAAACACAGGAUAUCAACACAACAUGAGCAGCAGGCCUGACCUUGGGGAGUUUCCUGCCAGCCAGUCCACGAUCCCUAUGAACCUCUUCUCCCUCCUCGGCUGUGCUGGGUACACCUCCUGCACUGCACCAUGUCCUCUCAGAAGGCUGAGCUGCACUCUGCUGGGAUUAGAUUGCUCCAAACCCGGCAAUGCUUAUUUAUUCCUUUAAUGUCUUUGUGCUUACAAACAGCACUGUAUAUGAGAAAUGGCAGGCACUUCAUUUUACACAAAAUGUGAGGAAUCUUAUGAGCACGGAUUUCAUAGCUGAAUCCACAUUUAUCUUCUUCUGAACAUGGUAUUAAACAGUAUCUACAGGGGUUCAGACAUACAGUGGAGAAUGACAGAACAUUACACGCUUCCUUCUGCACAGAAGCUUCCAUUGGUCCAGCUGAUCCUGGAGGAAACAGACGUUUCCUGAGCCACUUGUUGAAUUCUUCUUUGCUAUGUGCAUUUAUUAUGAAAUACAAUUUUGUUUCCACAUUCUGACAAGACACAGUAAUAAAGUCUGCAAUGGAAA